AGGAUUCGUCCAAGUGAAGUAGAGGACAGUGGCGGACGGGUGAGUAACGCGUGAGCAACCUGGCUCUAAGAGGGGGACAACAGUUGGAAACGACUGCUAAUACCGCAUAACGUAUCGGGAUGGCAUCUUCCUGAUACCAAAGAUUUUAUCGCUUAGAGAUGGGCUCGCGUCUGAUUAGAUAGUUGGCGGGGUAACGGCCCACCAAGUCGACGAUCAGUAGCCGGACUGAGAGGUUGAACGGCCACAUUGGGACUGAGAUACGGCCCAGACUCC
rnacentral:rRNA from 1 species